UACAGAGGGUGCAAGCGUUGUUCGGAAUUACUGGGCGUAAAGGGCGCGUAGGCGGGUCGUUUAGUUAGAGGUGAAAGCCCAGGGCUCAACCCUGGAAUUGCCUUUAAUACUGGCGGCCUUGAGUAUGGCAGAGGUGUGUGGAACUCCGAGUGUAGAGGUGAAAUUCGUAGAUAUUCGCAAGAACACCAGUGGCGAAGGCGGCUCACUGGCCCGAUACUGACGCUGAGGCGCGAAAGCCAGGGGAGCAAACGGG
rnacentral:rRNA from 1 species